GAUGAACGCUGGCGGCGUGCCUAAUACAUGCAAGUCGAGCGAACGGACGAGAAUCUUGCUUUUCUUAUGUUAGCGGCUGACGGUUGAGUAACACGUGGAUAACCUACCUAUAAUACUUGGAUAACUUCGGGAAACCGUAGCUCAUACCGGAUAAUAUUUUGAACCGCAUUGUUCUAUAGUGAACUACGGUCUUUCUGUCUCUUAUAGAUGGAUCCUCUCUGCAUUAGCUAGUUGGUAAGGUAACGGCUUACCAAGGCAACGAUGCAUAGCCGACCUGAGAGGGGGAUCGGCGACACUGGAACUGAGACAAGGAAAAGACGACUACGGGAGGCAGCAGUAGGGAAUAUUGCGCAAUGGGCGAAAGCAUGACGGAGCAAAGCCGCGUGAGUGAAGAAGGUCUUAGGAUCGUAAAACUCUGUUAUGAGGGAAGAAAAUAUGUGUAAGUAAAAGAGCACAGAGUGACGGUAACUAAUAAGAAAGCAACGGCUAACUACGUG
rnacentral:rRNA from 1 species